GCCCGAUUAGCUCAAUUGGUCAGAGCGUCAGACUUUUAUCCCACAUAAGGAUUAUCUGAAUGUUGCGAGUUCGAGUCUCGCAUCGGGCG